GUGGCCUACGGGAGGCAGCAGUGGGGAAUAUUGCGCAAUGGGGGAAACCCUGACGCAGCAACGCCGCGUGCAGGAAGAAGGUCUUCGGAUUGUAAACUGUUGUCGCAGGGGAAGAAGACAGUGACGGUACCCUGUGAGAAAGUCACGGCUAACUACGUGCCAGCAGCCGCGGUAAUACGUAGGUGACAAGCGUUGUCCGGAUUUACUGGGUGUAAAGGGAGCGUAGGUGGCAGGGCAAGUCAGAUGUGAAAACCCGGGGCUCAACCCCGGGAGUGCAUUUGAAACUGUCCAGCUGGAGUGCAGGG
rnacentral:rRNA from 1 species